rnacentral:rRNA from 1 species
UACGUAGGGGGCUAGCGUUGUCCGGAAUCAUUGGGCGUAAAGAGCGUGUAGGCGGCUCGGUAAGUCCGCUGUGAAAGUCGGGGGCUCAACCCUCGAAUGCCGGUGGAUACUGUCGGGCUAGAGUGCGGAAGAGGCGAGUGGAAUUCCUGGUGUAGCGGUGAAAUGCGCAGAUAUCAGGAAGAACACCAAUGGCGAAAGCAGCUCUCUGGGACGGUACUGACGCUGAGACGCGAAAGCGUGGGGAGCGAACAGG